GAUGAACGCUGGCGGCGUGCCUAAUACAUGCAAGUCGAGCGAACGGACGAGAAGCUUGCUUCUCUGAUGUUAGCGGCGGACGGGUGAGUAACACGUGGAUAACCUACCUAUAAGACUGGGAUAACUUCGGAAAACCGGAGCUAAUACCGGAUAAUAUUUUGAACCGCAUGGUUCAAAAGUGAAAGACGGUCUUGCUGUCACUUAUAGAUGGAUCCGCGCUGCAUUAGCUAGUUGGUAAGGUAACGGCCUACCAAGGCAACGAUGCAUAGCCGACCUGAGAGGGUGAUCGGCCACACUGGAACUGAGACACGGUCCAGACUCCUACGGGAGGCAGCAGUAGGGAAUCUUCCGCAAUGGGCGAAAGCCUGACGGAGCAACGCCGCGUGAGUGAUGAAGGUCUUCGGAUCGUAAAACUCUGUUAUUAGGGAAGAACAUAUGUGUAAGUAACUGUGCACAUCUUGACGGUACCUAAUCAGAAAGCCACGGCUAACUACGUG
rnacentral:rRNA from 1 species